UAGUGGAACAGCGUGGCAGGACAAGUUGUACAGUCCACUCAUGUGAACAUUUGUGUGAACAUUUGUGAAUGGAAAGACAAAGACACAGAGGAAGCUUAAGUGCCUGAUUGCUCAACGCUUCUGUGGUGAAAUCGAAGGCUUGUCCUGUGGCAUGUGACCUACACAUGACUGAGAGGCUGUGGAGGGGCUGCUUCGACACUACUGGACUGACAACUGAGUCAUGCUCAACACUAGGAGCAGAGGCUGUUCCAGUCCACAGCUGCUGUUUGUGGUUCGUAGGCAAAACGCUGUAAUGUCACUGUGGAGGUCAAUCAGCCCCUGUCCACCUUCUGUUACAGGAUCCAACCUAUCCCGCUCCAUGACCUCUGCCUCUACCUUUCCACCUGUGACACUGACGGCCAUGUCAACUUUAACUAUACUUGACACCACUGACAUCAAGACUCCAUCUGGAAACAUCAGCAGCUACUUUCCCUCAUAAAUGGCCAUUAACCUAAAAUUGAGUUUAUGCCAAUUGUCUUUGAAACUAGUCCGACCUGAUUGACCUGUCAGGGUAGUAACCUCUCCACUUUCCUUUAAAUAUACACACAGACCGCACACAAAAUGGCAAAUACAGAGACAGGAUUUUAAACAAUCUGAUUUAUUCAAUGAUUGAAUUUUACAAUAAAGUGAAAAGUUUGAGCAUUU